rnacentral:sRNA from 1 species
AUUACACAACAAUUCCCACAAGCUUUUUUGAGCUUUAUUUUGAGUUCUUCAUUAUAUAUAAUUACUAGAUAAGGUCCGCCUAUAUAGGCGGGUGUAUAGGCGGAUGUAAGAUAAAAAUUUAUUCAAAUAUUCAUUAAGAAU